ACAUUCAAUGCAGCAUAUAUACUAGAAUUGGAAUGACAUAGAGAAGAUUAGCAUGGACCCUGUGAAAGGGUGACACACAAAUCUGGGAAGUGUUCCAUAUUUUU